GUGCUGGUUACUUUAGGAGAAGAUAUGAGAAACACUGUGAUAAUUGUUUUCACAGGAAAUCUGUCUUUCUGCCACUUAUACUUUUCUUCUGCCAUAGUGCUGCAAGCAGCUGUGUGAAGACACCCAGACAGCAGCAUGUUUGCCAGCUUGGCUGUGACAGCACCCUGGGUCCCUUCUCAGCAGUCAGCAUGCAGGGAUGGUGCAGAUAUGUCCCUUGAGAACUCUUCUUUUGGGUGGAGAACAGAGAAGCAUACCCCCAGGAAGUGAUGGCAAUAAUGAAACUUGUUUAAAGAUAAUAACUCACCAUGAUGACAAGACAACCCUUAAGCCUCAUUUAACAUCUGACUUUAUUGGCCCACUACCUUCACCAUUUACUAUACAGCAAAAAACUUGGAAGACAGCCCAAAAGGAAAAGUCACAGUUGUAUUCCUGAGCUGAGUGGUUUGAUAUUCACCAGCCAGUGAAAUGAAACUGAAGAAAAUUGGUUAUUAGAAGACCACUUCUGCUGCACACCAAAAUCUCCUGUGGAAGAUCUUCGGAGUGAGGAGCAGAGGGGGAAGCAAGACUUUUGAGAAAGCACUUCUGCCCACAAACUGCUUUUUCUCUGAGUGGAGAGCACUCCCUGGUGUGGCUGCACCACUGUUCUGCUUGAAAUCACACAGGAGGGCACCAGCCAGGGACAUCCAGACUUCCUCUGACACUCUGCUGUGCCUACACAGCAGUGAAAAAGUCCACGUGGAGAUGCCUAAGCUGGCUCUGAGGAAAAGAGCAGGACUCUGUAGAACAGCACGCUUUCACUCAGGGCAGCAGUGCAGCCAUCCCUGCCAUCUCUGGGUAAUUCAUCACUGUGGGCCCCUGUGCUUUUAUUCCUGCUGGGUUUCUCUGGCUGGUGUACAUGCUGGACACCUGCGGCCUGAAGACAAUUCCACCCUCUCAGGGCUUCAGAGGAGCCUGGGGCUGUAGGGAUUUUGGUUAGGAGGUGGGGUUCUUCGUGCUGGUGGGAUGGGACAAGCAGAUCAGCCUUGCUUUCACCCUUUUGCCUUUCCAGAAAGCCAACCAAUGAGUGCAGUGUUAUGGCCUUGUGGUUUUUACAACACAUAAGAUAUGUACAAGACAAAGAAACCUGUGAACUGCUGGCUGCCAUGAAAAAAUGAUGCACUUUAGGCAACAAUACAGUUAAAUUUACUUUUUA